AAAAAAUUGAUGGUUGCAUUGGAAAAAAUUAAAUACAAUGGAAAUUAUGUUCGGCAAUUAAGAUAAAAUUAUUAAAAAUUAAAAAUUGUGAAUAAAAUUAAUAAAUUUUAAUAUAUCAAAUUUUAUAUUGUAAAACUAAUGUUUAUUUUGAUUCAAAGAAAUAGAGAAGGGAUAGAGAUGGAAAAAGAGAAGGGAGAAAGAGGGCAAAAAGUUAAUUUUAUUGCAACCAGACAACCUAUUAUAGCACUUCAUAAUGGCUUUUUUUGAACAAAAAUUAAACUUGAAUGAUAUUAUUUUAACAAAUUGAAAUUGAUUGAUUGAAAUGAAACAAUCCAUAAAGUUAACUGACCGUUAGUGUAAUUUACCAUACAACUUUCUUUUGAGUGAUUUGAGAACAAGGCAUCCAAUGUUUUUUCAUUACAGUUAUUUGUGCAAGUGAUUCAUUGUUGAGGAAUGGUUAAUUUGUGCACAUUCCUUGAUGAGUAUGGGAAUUUUAAUAAUAAUUUUUAAAAGUAAAUUUUUCAGCAGUUCUAUUACAUAAGAAAGAUGAUAGUUAGCACCAGAUGGCUUUUUAAUUCAUUUUCUUCAUUUCCAUUUGCUUAUGUGAUGUUCCUAUCUAUUGCAACAUAUUAACCUUGUAGUCUUCUUCAUUAAGGAUGUGUUUCGUAGAAAGUUAAAAAAAAUAGAAAGUUAAAUGUUACACUUACAAGUUUUAACUUCCAAAGAGGUUAAGG
rnacentral:misc_RNA from 1 species